rnacentral:ncRNA from 1 species
GGUCAAGUGAAGAAGCGCAUACGGUGGAUGCCUUGGCAGUCAGAGGCGAUGAAAGACGUGAUAGCCUGCGAUAAGCUUCGGUGAGGUGGCAAAUGACCUGUGACCCGGAGAUCUCUGAAUGGGGGAACCCACCUAGCAUAAGCUAGGUAUCUUAACCUGAAUCCAUAGGGUUAAGAGGCGAACCAGGGGAACUGAAACAUCUAAGUACCCUGAGGAAAAGAAAUCAACCGAGAUUCCCUUAGUAGUGGCGAGCGAACGGGGACCAGCCCUUAAGU